GGGCCACUAACUCAACGGUAGAGUAAUCGGCUUUUAACCGAAAAGUUCCGGGUUCGAAUCCCGGGUGACCCA
rnacentral:tRNA from 1 species